UAAACGUAGCAAGUCGCCUGCUUAUAUUAUUCGAAGGUAGCAGCGAGAGAAGACACAAGCAGGCAAAGAAACGAAUAUACAUAUUGAGUGUGGAUUCAGAUAUAAAAACGCAUCCUCAGCAUUUUGAUCGGGUAUAUUGAGUGAAAAGCGCGUCUGUUAGCCUUGUCUGACAACCACUGAUAUACAGUCCGCUAUCGCUGAUUGUCAAAUGUAUUGUUUACAUCCGAUCAGCUGUUACUGCAGAAAACUGUAAUACUCUAUUCGUACGGGUGGUGUUGAAGUUCGCCUACAGUGUAUCACGGCUGAACGUUUGCCCAUCAAGAAGAUUCAGUUUCUAGUUAUCUCGCUUCUCCGUUGAACAGGGGAUCGGGUACAUACUACUGUGGAGGGAUCGGUGAGGGGUUUUGAAUGGGGAAGAACAUAGAUAGUAAGGUCUUUCCAGAAAAUCUAGAAACAAACUGUGUUGCACAAUGUUCCAAACGGACGCAAAAACUGUUGCAGGAGUACCAGGGAUGGGCGAUUGUGUUUGUGUCGGCAAUUAUGUACAUACCUGUUCUGGGUGUGCUAUACAACUACAAUCUUCUAUUUGUUCGAUUACAAGAGGAAUUCGACAGCGGUGCUGGCGAAACAGGAUGGAUCGGGUGCCUGGCGAUCGCUUUGCUAACUCUUCCGUCACCUCUGUCAACCUUCUUAGCAGAGAAGAUAACUUAUCGGGGUAUAGUAGCCCUUGGUCUCGUUAUGUGCUCCAUAGGACUGUUAGUAACGUCAUUUAUGCCAUCUAUCAAGUACAUUUUCUUCAGUUAUAGCAUCGUUUUCGGAUUAGGUACCAAUUUUAUACAGCAUCCGUCCCUUAGUCUCAUCGUUUUGUACUUCGACGAAAGGAAAUGCGCAAAAGCCACUGGUUUGGCCAUCACCGGAACUGGAGCUGGCAUCAUGGCAACUUCGCAGAUCCUUGAAUUUUUGUUUAAUAUACUUGGUUGGCGUGGUGCUCUACGAGUUAUGGCUGCUAUCAUUUUACCUGUCGGUUUAGUAUGCUGUGCCUUUUUGAAGUCACCGCCGAGGAACUCAACUGCAGACUACAAAACCGUCCAGAACAUUGAAGAGGCCUAUCCUUCCAAGAAACUGGAAGCAGAGGUCUAUACAGACACAAAGAAAGUCUACCUUGAAGUUGUGUUUGAGGAACACGAAUCCAAGUCUUUCUCUAGAAAAUUUAUUAAAUUUCUUACGACAAUUGAGUGUUGGCUUGUUAUCUUUAGUUACACUGGAAUGGGGAUCGCAGUUGUAUUCAGUUAUGUAAAUCUUGCUAGUUAUAUGAAAACUGUAGGCUUCAGCGACGACCAAGGGUCGGCUGCAAUCGGUAUAAUGGGUGGAGCCGAUCUGCUCGGCCGCCUGGUCAUUACAUUGAUAGGCGGGAAACUGCCGAUCAGCGUUGCCGGCAUGUACAUCUUGGCCUGCUUAAUCGGCGCAAUUCCGAUUGCAUCAUUACCAUUCGCCACGACUUUCACAAGCGUGGCGAUCUGCUAUUCAGUUAUUACAGGAUAUAACAGUUGGGGUCCGUGGGGGAAAGCACCAAUACUAAAUCCUGUUUACGAACUGACCACCACUCUCGCGUGUCGCACACAUCCAUAAGGAAAAUCAUGUCACUACAUCCCAGACAGAUGAUCACUGAACUUUAACUAUGACGUAAUCAGUUUUGAUGUCAAAUGGUGUGAAAGACGUAGGACAGAAUGUGGCUAAAGAGACGGUGGGGCAUGAGGAUGACAAUACUAACCAGCUGUGUAUGUGAUACAGAUGUUGAAGCCGCCACCACAACAAGAAUUGCCUACUACCAUAGAGUUGACUUUUGCUAAUCCACCUUCAUAAAAUCGACUUUUCCGAUGACGUCGACUAUCAUUUUUCACCACCGCACAAUCACCGUUACGAGUGCUAAGUCUGGCAAGAGCCGUUACUCUAUGUUACCAGUACGCCUUCUGUGUCGAUGUCUUCCCGAGCGAGUCAAAGGUCCAGGCUUGUACGAUGGCAGUCAGUAGUUUCGGUGUUGGUAGCCUCUUUGCUACCGGUG
rnacentral:misc_RNA from 1 species